UACAAAACUUCAUCAAUUAUUGGACGUUACACCAAAAAUCCAUCUUCUUUAACCUAUAUUAAUUUUAUUUUUUUUCUUUAUAAAAACCACCCAUCAUUGGCAUCACAAACCUUUUGAUUAACAACAGAAAGUGAUGGCAGUGGUUGAGUUAUUCGUUCUAGGUUGCACAGGAGGAUUCGUCAUGUUCCUUCAUGGCGCCAAUUUCAUGUUUCACGCUUUCGGUCAUCAAAUCGCCAUUCGAUCUCUCAGUUUCUUGGGAUGUGUUUGGUAACAUACAACAACGGGCAGACGGCAUGGAAAUUGUGAAAAUUUUAGUGUAUAAUGAGAGAGAAUUUGGCAUAAUGUAUUAUUGAUGGUCAAAAGUGUUACUGGGUAGGCAGAUAAUUGGGUAAACAAUAAAAAUAUCCAAGUUGAAAGGAGGCAUGUUUAAUGAUCAAAGCUAAGAUAUAAAAUGUACCUUUGGUAGUAAUGCAGCAUUUACAAAUUAAGGAUGAUUAAUUUAGUGAUGAUACAAAAUUACAACAA